rnacentral:siRNA from 1 species
ACAUACACCUGAGACAGGACC